rnacentral:misc_RNA from 1 species
CCAAUCUCUAGCGGGGCUCGUAAGUGGGUCUCGCGAAACCUUUCUGUAUUUAAAACCCAACUCAUGAGAAUAAAAAAAUAACAUACACGUUAUAUGUAAAUUAAGA